UACAGAGGGUGCGAGCGUUGUUCGGAAUUAUUGGGCGUAAAGGGCGCGUAGGCGGUGCGGUAAGUCGCCUGUGAAAUCUCCUGGCUCAACUGGGAGCUUGCAGGCGAAACUGCCGUGCUGGAGUGUGGGAGAGGUGCGUGGAAUUCCUGGUGUAGCGGUGAAAUGCGUAGAUAUCAGGAGGAACACCUGUGGCGAAAGCGGCGCACUGGACCACAACUGACGCUGAGGCGCGAAAGCGUGGGGAGCGAACAGG
rnacentral:rRNA from 1 species